rnacentral:rRNA from 1 species
AACGAACGCUGGCGGCAGGCCUAACACAUGCAAGUCGAGCGCCCUUUCGGGGGAGCGGCGGACGGGUGAGUAACGCGUGGGAAUAUGCCCUUCUCUACGGAAUAGCCUCGGGAAACUGAGAGUAAUACCGUAUACGCCCUAUGGGGGAAAGAUUUAUCGGGGAAGGAUUAGCCCGCGUUGGAUUAGGUAGUUGGUGGGGUAAUGGCCUACCAAGCCGACGAUCCAUAGCUGGUUUGAGAGGAUGAUCAGCCACACUGGGACUGAGACACGGCCCAGACUCCUACGGGAGGCAGCAGUGGGGAAUCUUAGACAAUGGGGGCAACCCUGAUCUAGCCAUGCCGCGUGAGUGAUGAAGGCCUUAGGGUUGUAAAGCUCUUUCAGCUGUGAAGAUAAUGACGGUACCAGCAGAAGAAGCCCCGGCUAACUCCGUG